GGCGCGCUAAAGGGAGGAUGGAAGAAUAGUUCAAGUCGAUGUGCAGUUUCAUUGAUAAAUCUUGAAUUGAAGCAAUGGCUUUCAGAUUGUUUCCCAGAGAAAACAUGGGGAAAGAAGGUAUCAGAGAAGGUGAUUUCGCUAUACAAUUCUCUUCUCAAGAAAGGAAAGCCACAGUCUUGGUCUCAUUUCUCGUUUCCUCUCCUUCUCAAGAUUUUGUUGUCGCUGAUGCUUCAAAAAUUUCCAUUCAUUGGGUCCAGAUGCUCAAAUGCCAAGUGUUGUUGAGGUCUAAUUUCGAUUGUUGUUGCUUCCAUUUCUGUUUGAGAAGUUGUUUCCUUAGGAACGGG
rnacentral:misc_RNA from 1 species